rnacentral:rRNA from 1 species
UACACAUGCAAGUCGAGCGAAGCGAUUUCAAGGAAGUUUUCGGAUGGAAUUGAAAUUGACUUAGCGGCGGACGGGUGAGGAACGCGUGGGUAACCUGCCUCAUACAGGGGGAUAACAGUCGGAAACGACUGCUAAUACCGCAUAAGCACACAGUGCCGCAUGGUACGGUGUGAAAAACUCCGGUGGUAUGAGAUGGACCCGCGUCUGAUUAGGUAUUUGGUGAGGUAACGGGCCACCAAGCCGACGAUCAGUAGCCGACCUGAGAGGGUGACCGGCCACAUUGGGACUGAUACACGGGCCAAACUCCUACGGGAGGGAGCAGUGGGGAAUAUUGGACAAUGGGGGAAACCCUGAUCCAGCGACGCCGCGUGAGUGAAGAAGUAUUUCGGUAUGUAAAGCUCUAUCAGCAGGGAAGAAAAUGACGGUACCUGACUAAGAAGCCCCGGCUAACUACGUGCCAGCAGCCGCGGUAAUACGUAGGGGGCAAGCGUUAUCCGGAUUUACUGGGUGUAAAGGGAGCGUANACGGNACUGCAAGUCUGGAGUGAAAGCCCGGGGCUCAACCCCGGGACUGCUUUGGAA